UACGGAGGGGGCUAGCGUUGCUCGGAAUCACUGGGCGUAAAGCGCACGUAGGCGGCUUUCUAAGUCAGGGGUGAAAUCCUGGAGCUCAACUCCAGAACUGCCUUUGAUACUGGGAAGCUCGAGUCCGGGAGAGGUGAGUGGAACUCCGAGUGUAGAGGUGAAAUUCGUAGAUAUUCGGAAGAACACCAGUGGCGAAGGCGGCUCACUGGCCCGGUACUGACGCUGAGGUGCGAAAGCGUGGGGAGCAAACAGG
rnacentral:rRNA from 1 species